AGACUGCCGGUGACAAACCGGAGGAAGGUGGGGAUGACGUCAAGUCAUCAUGGCCCUUAUGUCCUGGGCUACACACGUGCUACAAUGGCCGGUACAGAGCGCAGCGAGGCCGCGAGGCGGAGCGAAUCGACCUAAAGCCGGUCCCAGUACGGAUUGGAGUCUGCAACCCGACUCCAUGAAGUUGGAAUCGCUAGUAAUCGCGCAUCAGCAUGGCGCGGUGAAUACGUUCCCGGGCCUU
rnacentral:rRNA from 1 species